GACGAACGCUGGCGGCGUGGAUUAGGCAUGCAAGUCGAACGGUAUGGACCUUUCGGGGUUCAGAGAGUGGCGAACGGGUGAGUAACACGUAGGUAAUCUACCCUCAAGACGGGGACAACCCAGGGAAACUUGGGCUAAUACCGGAUGUGUGUAGUGGCUAUUUUUCUGAUUAUCAUUAUUUACGUAAGUGAGUAAUAAUAAGAAGGGAAAGUGGUUAUUACAUAAAAGGUGGCGUAAGCUGCCGCUUGGGGAUGAGCCUGCGUCCUAUUAGUUAGUUGGUGAGGUAACGGCUUACCAAGGCGAUGAUAGGUAGGCGGCCUUAACGGGUGGUCGCCCACACUGGGAUUGAGAUACGGCCCAGACUCCUACGGGAGGCAGCAGUCGAGAAUAGUCUACAAUGGACGGAAGUCUGAUAGUGCGACGCCGCGUGAACGAAGAAUCCCUUCGGGGUGUAAAGUUCUUUUAUACGUGAGCAGUGUCCUUUAUAUUAAUAGUAUAAGGGGAGAGAUAUUAGCGUAUGAAUAAGCAACGGCUAACUCCGUGCCAGCAGCCGCGGUAACACGGGGGUUGCGAGCGUUGUCCGGAAUUACUAGGCGUAAAGUGCAGGUAGGCGGAUAAAUAAGUUUAAGGUUAAAGGCUACGGCUUACCCGUAGUAAGGCGUUAGAUACUGUUUAUCUGGAAUGCGGUUGAGGGAGACAGAAUUCCUGGUGUAGCGGUGGAAUGCGCAGAGAUCAGGAGGAAUACCGAAGGCGAAGGCAGUCUUCUAAGCCGAUAUUGACGCUAAACUGCGAAAGGUGUGGGGAUCAAACAGGAUUAGAUACCCUGGUAGUCCACACAGUAAACGAUAAUCACUAGGUGUUGGGUUCUUAAGAGGAUUCAGUGCCGGAGCUAACGCGAUAAGUGAUUCGCCUGGGGAGUACGAUCGCAAGGUUGAAACUCAA
rnacentral:rRNA from 1 species